GAUGAACGCUGGCGGCGUGCCUAAUACAUGCAAGUCGAGCGAACGGACGAGGAGCUUGCUUCUCUGAUGUUAGCGGCGGACGGGUGAGUAACACGUGGAUAACCUACCUAUAAGACUGGGAUAACUUCGGGAAACCGGAGCUAAUACCGGAUAAUAUUUUGAACCGCAUGGUUCGAUAGUGAAAGACGGCCUUGCUGUCACUUAUAGAUGGAUCCGCGCUGCAUUAGCUAGUUGGUAAGGUAACGGCUUACCAAGGCAACGAUGCAUAGCCGACCUGAGAGGGUGAUCGGCCACACUGGAACUGAGACACGGUCCAGACUCCUACGGGAGGCAGCAGUAGGGAAUCUUCCGCAAUGGGCGAAAGCCUGACGGAGCAACGCCGCGUGAGUGAUGAAGGUCUUCGGAUCGUAAAACUCUGUUAUUAGGGAAGAACAUAUGUGUAAGUAACUGUGCACAUCUUGACGGUACCUAAUCAGAAAGCCACGGCUAACUACGUG
rnacentral:rRNA from 1 species